AAAAUGCCGAAAAUCACCAAAAAAUGCCGAAAACAAACCCACCGUGAGAGAACAACAACACAAGAAUAGCAGUCAAUGUACUUGUUUACUUGUUUUCCGACUGCCCCGCAUUCACGCCUCCUUUUCUCUUUUUUUUUUCUUUUCUUUUAC
rnacentral:ribozyme from 12 species